GAUCCCAGGACCCUGGGACCAUGACCUGAGCCGAAGGUAGACACUUAACGACUGAGCCACCCAGGCGCCCCUUCUGCCCUAGAUUCCUGAUCCUUUUCUGGAGGUAGAAUUGGUAAGGGGUCUACAGUAGCCAGUUCAAAAAUAUAAAGAUGAGUUGUCAUUUUCUUAAAAAUAAAGCAAAACCUCUCUCUGCCUCUCUCCCUUAAAAAAAAACAAAAAAUGAGCUGACAAUGCGCAUGGGACAGGAAGACAAGGCAGUUGCACCCCCCGCUCCACGACGCCGGAGCUCAGCAUACACACGGGUGUGUACCAUGGACUGGUCUGCUAAAACAGUACUUUCUACUCUUCUGCGUAUCAUGGAUGCCUUCGAAAAUCCAGUCAAAUGCAUAUCCUCAACACCUGUAUACCCAACAGAAUUCUACUUGUUAGGCUGGACAGACUGCUCCUAAGGACCCUGGGAAAUACUUGCUGAAAGAAUGAACUGACGCUACAUGCAAAACUGGCACAGAAAACCACAGUGAACAGUGGCGUGUUAAGGGCUAACGUGCAUCUGCAUCCUGCAUCCCUUUUCCCUUGCGGUGUCUGGCCAGAGGGCUAGCUGAGCCAUUUAAAGAUGCGCUGACCAAAUGCUGUGCCAUUUAGGCACAAAUGGAGGGACGGUCCUGAGCACAUGAGCGGAGCCACGGUGGCCUGAGCUCCAGAGCAGGGGAGAGGCCGCGCCGUGGGCCUGGCCUGGAUCUACCCAGAUAUGGGCCUCUCAGUUACCAUGAGCCUUGCUUCCUGCUUUCCCACAUCCCAAUUUAUAUAUGCAGUCUCGGGCUGGGAGGACAAUGCCGGAGGCACAGGUGAGGCUCCAGAGGCAGAAAGGUGAUCUGCAUCACUAGCGCGGGCGCAUGUUCUGGGUCACGAGACGGUCUGUGGAGAGAAGAGGAACAGAGGAACAGUUUUCUUGUAUUAGCCGUUUGAAAACAGUGCUCUUCCUCUCCUCCCAGUUCAGCAUCAACCACCCAGAACCAGCACGCUUCUUUAAAUGGGUCCAGUGCAGCACCCACGUCCCCUCCUCCCCAUGCGCUCCCACAGGUCUCUGUGCACUCAAGUCCUAAGGGGUGAGGAGGCCGGCACGGUGUUUGGACGGGACACGAAGCACACUUUCCCUUCCCCAGAGACCGCUAUUUCCAUAGACACGGUAUUAGCUACUUCAGAUCAUGACUUCAGGUCAGUGGGAGACUCAGUCGGCCAAGUCAAAGAAAAAAAAAUAACUCCCCUGUGCAUUUGAGUGUUUUACUGCUAUGGAAACAAAAAUCAUCUCUGCUUAUUCAAACCGUGGGCUAUUUGUCUUCGCUUGUUGUUAGCACAACAUACACUGUUUAUCACACCUGUUUAAACUUCCACAGGAUGAGAUGAAAUAAUUUGUAUACAUCCAAGUUAAUUUGUUUGCAAGGUUACUAGGCUGAAGGUCUCAACUCUAGAAUGCCAACAAAAUGUGAAUAAAGCUAGUUUAGCUCGCUGAUGUGGGGCCUGCGGAGGGGAGACAAAAUAUUCCCACGGAAACAAUAGUGGCUCAGGCUGCGGUCAGAGGCGUAGGUAGCAUCUUCUAGUGAACUGUUCUCCUAAUCUCUUCCCCUCUGCUUUAUGGGGACAUUUCCUCAUUCCCCAGCCCCACCCUGGAGGGCCAACUACUUGUUCGCAGGCCACUUCCAGAAGGUGGGCCUGCUGCCUUCUCAACCUCAACCUGUCUCAAACCAAAACUGUCACCACCCUUCCAACCCAGGCCAGGUCCCCAAAGCCAGGCCCUUCUGCUACUACCGGCGGACCAUCAUGUGAGGAGGCGGACGUCACAGGCGGUCCUGAACAACGCAGUAAAACCCUGACUACCUAGAAUCCUGUGCUUUUCUAGAGAGAGUAAUUCUCAGGCAAGUGGAUACUAACCUUUCAAGUGCCAAUACUUAAAAAAAAUUAGAGUACUAUACGUUUACAUUAAACACCCUGGGGUAGCUUUUGUUUGCAGACCAGCCUUUUCUGAGCUUUGCCAAGGAAGCUGAGCCUGGGGCGGUAAAGGGACCAAUCACAGCAGGUCUUCAAGUGCCUGUUUCCUGCAGGCAUUCAUUGACCGCCCAGUCUUUAGAGUUGCUCUUUAUUGUUAAAAGUUAAUUUUUACUUACCUUUUCACAGUUACUUUCAGAUCGGAAAGCUGGAGCCUAGCUAGGUGAAAUUUUAUUGUAAUAACAGUGGAAGCCUCUUUAAACAUGCCGGCUCACAGCACAUGUACACAGAGAAACCGACUUUCCUUUUCUAAUGGGCAAAAGCUUCAGCAAACUUCCUGUGUUCCUCAUCAACUAGCUCAGAUGCUUUUAGUGUCUGGUCAGAGCUCACGAGGAGCCAGCACCAGGCAGAUACCCCUCACCGAGGUGCCCCACCUGCCUGGAACCCUCACAGCCAACGUGCGUACUUUGACCGGAAGCUUCAGCACUGAUCUAAAGCUGGGGACAUGGGUGUUCUCAGCCAGCAUCUUGGCACCAAAACCUUCCUUCUGAGGGCAGCACACACAAACCUUGUUCCUCUGUCACCAAGUGUGACUUGAAUCGAGCCCCUCUCCCCCAGCUCCUUGUGCCCUCACAGUAUUGCCGUUCACGCCCGAGGCCCUCCUCUGGGGCAUCUCCAACAACUGUGGCCACAGACAAAAUGACUCCUUCCAGGAAUGCUAUCCCGUGUGGCCGAGUUUUUGCUGCCAGGUCUCAUGAUGUGUCCUACUUCUCAUCCAGCCCAAGUCUGGCCGUAACACUGGCCCAGCUAUAAAAGCCAUAGAAUUUACCGUCAUCAUUAAAUAUACGCAUUCACUUGAAAUUGCUGUGUUCUCUCCAGGUCUAUCAAAAAAGAUUAAAAUGUACACAGAGUAU